GAGGGUAUAGCUCAGUGGUAGAGUGCAUGCCUAGCAUGUAGGAGGUCCUGGGUUCAAUCCCUGGUACCCCCA
rnacentral:tRNA from 1 species